rnacentral:rRNA from 1 species
CACGUAGGGGGCGAGCGUUGUCCGGAAUCAUUGGGCGUAAAGAGCGUGUAGGCGGCUCGAUAAGUCCGCUGUGAAAGUCCAGGGCUCAACCCUGGAAGGCCGGUGGAAACUGUCGGGCUAGAGUCCGGAAGAGGCGAGUGGAAUUCCCGGUGUAGCGGUGAAAUGCGCAGAUAUCGGGAGGAACACCAAUGGCGAAGGCAGCUCGUUGGGACGUUACUGACGCUGAGACGCGAAAGCGUGGGGAGCAAACAGG